rnacentral:rRNA from 1 species
CUCAACUGUAGAAUUGCCAUUGAUACUGUUGUUCUUGAGUUAUUGUGAAGUGGUUAGAAUGAGUAGUGUAGCGGUGAAAUGCAUAGAUAUUACUCAGAAUACCGAUUGCGAAGGCAGAUCACUAACAAUACACUGACGCUGAUGGACGAAAGCGUAGGUAGCGAACAGGAUUAGAUACCCUGGUAGUCUACGCCGUAAACGAUGGUUACUAGCUGUUCGGACUAAUUGCGGUCUGAGUGGCUAAGCGAAAGUGAUAAGUAACCCACCUGGGGAGUACGUUCGCAAGAAUGAAACUCAAAGGAAUUGACGGGGGCCCGCACAAGCGGUGGAGCAUGUGGUUUAAUUCGAUGAUACGCGAGGAACCUUACCAGGGCUUAAAUGCAGUUUGACAGGGGUGGAAACACCUUUUCCUUCGGGCAA